rnacentral:lncRNA from 1 species
CCACGUAGAUGCAAUUCGAAUUUCAACCUUUUUCAAAAUCUGUAUGAUAGGUAUGGAAAUUCACCUCGAAUCAAAAUGAGAAUUAUAAUCUCUACUACACUUGUAAUUUUAACCGCAACUAGAGCCAGCUCGAAUUUUGCCUUACCUUCAGCUUGGCUCGUGCCAUGCUUAAAGCAUAACACAGGCUAAGUAUUUACCUGAGCUAUUACUCUAAUCAAGUUUUGUAGUUAUAGCCAGGGGUCGAGUAUACGUUAAAGAUUUUGAUUCAUAUAUUUAAAAGCAUGAUUCAUAUUUAACAAAAGAAGAAGAUUACAUUUAUUCUUAUAAAGAUUCUAUUACAAGACUAGGAG